rnacentral:rRNA from 1 species
CCUACGGGGGGCUGCAGUAGGGAAUAUUGGGCAAUGGAUGCAAGUCUGACCCAGCCAUGCCGCGUGAAGGAAGAAGGUCCUCCGGAUUGUAAACUUCUUUUGUCGGGGAAGAAGAGUCCUCUUGCGAGGGGAUGUGACGGUACCCGAUGAAUAAGCCACGGCUAACUACGUGCCAGCAGCCGCGGUAAUACGUAGGUGGCAAGCGUUGUCCGGAUUUAUUGGGUUUAAAGGGUGCGUAGGUGGUUUGAUAAGUCAGUGGUGAAAGCCGGUUGCUC